rnacentral:rRNA from 1 species
AGAGUUUGAUCCUGGCUCAGAGCGAACGCUGGCGGCAGGCUUAACACAUGCAAGUCGAGCGGGCGUAGCAAUACGUCAGCGGCAGACGGGUGAGUAACGCGUGGGAACGUACCUUUUGGUUCGGAACAACUGAGGGAAACUUCAGCUAAUACCGGAUAAGCCCUUACGGGGAAAGAUUUAUCGCCGAAAGAUCGGCCCGCGUCUGAUUAGCUAGUUGGUGAGGUAACGGCUCACCAAGGCGACGAUCAGUAGCUGGUCUGAGAGGAUGAUCAGCCACAUUGGGACUGAGACACGGCCCAAACUCCUACGGGAGGCAGCAGUGGGGAAUAUUGGACAAUGGGGGCAACCCUGAUCCAGCCAUGCCGCGUGAGUGAUGAAGGCCCUAGGGUUGUAAAGCUCUUUUGUGCGGGAAGAUAAUGACGGUACCGCAAGAAUAAGCCCCGGCUAACUUCGUGCCAGCAGCCGCGGUAAUACGAAGGGGGCUAGCGUUGCUCGGAAUCACUGGGCGUAAAGGGUGCGUAGGCGGGUCUUUAAGUCAGGGGUGAAAUCCUGGAGCUCAACUCCAGAACUGCCUUUGAUACUGAGGAUCUUGAGUUCGGGAGAGGUGAGUGGAACUGCGAGUGUAGAGGUGAAAUUCGUAGAUAUUCGCAAGAACACCAGUGGCGAAGGCGGCUCACUGGCCCGAUACUGACGCUGAGGCACGAAAGCGUGGGGAGCAAACAGGAUUAGAUACCCUGGUAGUCCACGCCGUAAACGAUGAAUGCCAGCCGUUAGUGGGUUUACUCACUAGUGGCGCAGCUAACGCUUUAAGCAUUCCGCCUGGGGAGUACGGUCGCAAGAUUAAAACUCAAAGGAAUUGACAGGGGCCCGCACAAGCGGUGGAGCAUGUGGUUUAAUUCGACGCAACGCGCAGAACCUUACCAGCCCUUGACAUGUCCAGGACCGGUCGCAGAGAUGUGACCCUCU